rnacentral:rRNA from 1 species
AUUGAACGCUGGCGGCAUGCCUUACGCAUGCAAGUCGAACGGCAGCAUGGAGAGCUUGCUCUCUGAUGGCGAGUGGCGAACGGGUGAGUAAUGCAUCGGAACGUACCGUGUAAUGGGGGAUAACGUAGCGAAAGUUACGCUAAUACCGCAUACGACCUGAGGGUGAAAGCAGGGGAUCGCAAGACCUUGCGUUAUACGAGCGGCCGAUGUCAGAUUAGCUAGUUGGUGAGGUAAAGGCUCACCAAGGCGACGAUCUGUAGCGGGUCUGAGAGGAUGAUCCGCCACACUGGGACUGGGACCCGGCCCAGACUCCUACGGGAGGCAGCAGUGGGGAAUUUUGGACAAUGGGGGCAACCCUGAUCCAGCCAUGCCGCGUGAGUGAAGAAGGCCUUCGGGUUGUAAAGCUCUUUCGGCCGGGAAGAAAUCGCACAGGCUAAUACUCUGUGUGGAUGAUGGUACCGGCAUAAGAAGCACCGGCUAACUACGUGCCAGCCGCCGCAGUAA